rnacentral:rRNA from 1 species
AUGAGAUUUCCCAUAGCGUAAGCUAGUAAGACCCCUGAGAGAUGAUCAGGUUGAUAGGUCAGAGGUGGAAGCGUGGUGACACGUGGAGCUGACUGAUACUAAUCGGUCGAGGACUUAACUAA